AAAUAUAGUUACCAUAGCUGUUGAUGGAUGCUUCGAUAUAUAAUAUAUUAAAGUAUUAAUCGAGUUAACAUGCUCAGCCGCCAAAAA
rnacentral:rRNA from 1 species